UUUAAGGUGAAUAGUAAAUGUGGAAGUGAAUAGAGCUGACUCAGAACUGCUCUGUAAGAAGUAGGGGAAGGGUGACGGCUUUAAUAGUGUGUGGACAUGUAGUAAAACAGUGUGGGGCAACGGGAAGAGAAAGUACCACAUCGAAUUACUGAAGUGUGCCUGUUAUAACUACUAAUGGAAUAGAGGAACUUCCCUAUGAUUGAAAGGUCUCCGAAGUUUGACCCUGCAAUCUUUCAGUUAACACCAGCCCAGAUGUUUUAAGUACUCCACCACACCUCCCAUGAAUGAAGACUAAAGCUGACUCACCCUGGUACAGGUGAAUGAGAGGAUUGUGGAUGGAGGGGUGGAUGAGACCUUCAGGUAGAUCCCUCAAGAACUGCUUCAGUAAACUGGCUACAGCAAAGGCGUCUGCAUCCUGAUGAAGAUCCACCUCUUCUCCUCCAUCAAUCCUCUGCCGCAGGUUAUCCACCGUCCGGACGCUGCCGUUCACUCUGAACAGACCCUCCAGACGAAGACCUGGGAGAUCGGGGCACCAUGAGAGACACAUGAAGCUCUAUACUCCACCAUACUCCGGACCACCACAGGAACCCCAUCCUUGACAAGUCCCAGAUCUCUCAACUCCAGCAGGGACAUGCCGAAGAUUUUCUUCCCCACUGUGGCGGUGGCCGGAGAGGGUUUGAUCACGGGCAGCUGUA